GUACUUACUUUGGCAGCACAUAUACUAAAAUUGGAAUGAUACAGAGAUCAGCAUGGCCCCUGUGUAAGGAUGACAUGCAAAUCCAUGAAGCUUUCCAUAUUUUU
rnacentral:snRNA from 1 species